GAUGAACGCUGGCGGCGUGCUUAACACAUGCAAGUCGAACGGAAAGGCCCAAGCUUGCUUGGGUACUCGAGUGGCGAACGGGUGAGUAACACGUGGGUGAUCUGCCCUGCACUUCGGGAUAAGCCUGGGAAACUGGGUCUAAUACCGGAUAGGACCACAUUUUGGAUGGUGUGGUGGAAAGUUUUUCGGUGUGGGAUGAGCUCGCGGCCUAUCAGCUUGUUGGUGGGGUAAUGGCCUGCCAAGGCGUCGACGGGUAGCCGGCCUGAGAGGGUGUACGGCCACAUUGGGACUGAGAUACGGCCCAGACUCCUACGGGAGGCAGCAGUGGGGAAUAUUGCACAAUGGGCGCAAGCCUGAUGCAGCGACGCCGCGUGGGGGAGGACGGCCUUCGGGUUGUAAACUCCUUUCGCUAGGGACGAAGCGUUAUGUGACGGUACCUGGAGAAGAAGCACCGGCUAACUACGUG
rnacentral:rRNA from 1 species